CAGGUCUUGACAUCCUCUGACAACCCUAGAGAUAGGGCUUUCCCUUCGGGGACAGAGUGACAGGUGGUGCAUGGUUGUCGUCAGCUCGUGUCGUGAGAUGUUGGGUUAAGUCCCGCAACGAGCGCAACCCUUGAUCUUAGUUGCCAGCAUUCAGUUGGGCACUCUAAGGUGACUGCCGGUGACAAACCGGAGGAAGGUGGGGAUGACGUCAAAUCAUCAUGCCCCUUAUGACCUGGGCUACACACGUGCUACAAUGGACAGAACAAAGGGCUGCGAGACCGCAAGGUUUAGCCAAUCCCACAAAUCUGUUCUCAGUUCGGAUCGCAGUCUGCAACUCGACUGCGUGAAGCUGGAAUCGCUAGUAAUCGCGGAUCAGCAUGCCGCGGUGAAUACGUUCCCGGGCCUUGUACACACCGCCCGUCACACCACGAGAGUUUGCAACACCCGAAGUCGGUGAGGUAACCU
rnacentral:rRNA from 1 species